rnacentral:rRNA from 1 species
GGGGAUUGCCCCAGUAACGGCGAGUGAAGCGGCAACAGCUCAAAUUUGAAAUCUGGCUCUCGGGCCCGAGUUGUAAUUUGUAGAGGAUGCUUUUGGUGAGGUGCCUUCCGAGUUCCCUGGAACGGGACGCCAUAGAGGGUGAGAGCCCCGUCUGGUUGGACACCGAUCCUCUGUAAAGCUCCUUCGACGAGUCGAGUAGUUUGGGAAUGCUGCUCUAAAUGGGAGGUAUAUGUCUUCUAAAGCUAAAUACCGGCCAGAGACCGAUAGCGCACAAGUAGAGUGAUCGAAAGAUGAAAAGAACUUUGAAAAGAGAGUUAAACAGUACGUGAAAUUGUUGAAAGGGAAGCGCUUGUGACCAGACUUGGGCUUGGUUGAUCAUCCGGGGUUCUCCCCGGUGCACUCUUCCGGCUCAGGCCAGCAUCAGUUCGCCCUGGGGGAUAAAGGCUUCGGGAAUGUGGCUCUCUCCGGGGAGUGUUAUAGCCCGCUGCGUAAUACCCUGUGGCGGACUGAGGUUCGCGCAUUCGCAAGGAUGCUGGCGUAAUGGUCAUCAGUGACCCGUCUUGAAACACGGACCAAGGAGUCGUCUUCGUAUGCGAGUGUUCGGGUGUCAAACCCCUACGCGAAAUGAAAGUGAACGCAGGUGAGAGCUUCGGCGCAUCAUCGACCGAUCCUGAUGUUAUCGGAUGGAUUUGAGUAAGAGCAUACGGGGCCGGACCCGAAAGAAGGUGAACUAUGCCUGUGUAGGGUGAAGCCAGAGGAAACUCUGGUGGAGGCUCGCAGCGGUUCUGACGUGCAAAUCGAUCGUCAAACAUGGGCAUGGGGGCGAAAGACUAAUCGAACCUUCUAGUAGCUGGUUUCC